rnacentral:rRNA from 1 species
AUGAACGUUGGCGGCGUGGAUUAGGCAUGCAAGUCGUACGGGCCAGCAAUGGUCAGUGGCGAAAGGGAGAGGAACACGUAGAUACCCACCCUCUGGUUCAGGAUAGCUGCGGGAAACUGCAGGUAAUACUGAAUAACAUCUCCGGAUCAAAGGUGUGAUUCCGCCGGAGGACGGGUCUGCGUCCUAUCAGCUAGUUGGUGAGGUAACGGCUCACCAAGGCUAUGACGGGUACGGGGUGUGAGAGCAUGCCCCCGCUCACUGGGACUGAGAUACUGCCCAGACACCUACGGGUGGCUGCAGUCGAGGAUCUUCGGCAAUGGGCGCAAGCCUGACCGAGCGACGCCGCGUGUGGGAUGAAGGCCUUCGGGUUGUAAACCACUGUCUGGGGGGAGGAAAUGCAUGGGAGUUCUCUCCUGUGUUUGACCUAUCCUCGGAGGAAGGACGGGCUAAGUUCGU